rnacentral:rRNA from 1 species
ACAACUUUCAACAACGGAUCUCUUGGUUCUCGCAUCGAUGAAGAACGCAGCGAAAUGCGAUAAGUAAUGUGAAUUGCAGAAUUCAGUGAAUCAUCGAAUCUUUGAACGCAUCUUGCGCUCCUUGGUAUUCCGAGGAGCAUGCCUGUUUGAGUGUCAUUUAAAGUUCUCAACCACAUACAUUAUCAAUGGAAUGUGGCUUGGAUAUGGGGGGAGUGUUUUGCAGGCUUCUUCUCUGAUAAAGUCUGCUCCCCUGAAAUGCAUUAGUGGUAUCUGAGCUACUACAGAUGUGAUAAUUAUCUACAUCAAAGUAUGCUGCACACCGCUUCCUAACGAGUUGAAAUUUGAUGAAUUUGACCUCAAAUCAGGUAGGACUACCCGCUGAACUUAAGCAUAUCAAUAAGCGGAGGAAAAGAAACUAACAAGGAUUCCCCUAGUAACUGCGAGUGAAGCGGGAAGAGCUCAAAUUUGAAAUCUGGCGGUUCUUGACCGUCCGAGUUGUAAUCUAGAGAAGUGUUACCUGUGCUGGACCGUGUACAA